UCAGGACACAGCCCAGCCGGCAGCUGCCAGAGUCACUGCCUAAAGGAGGUUUUGACCGAGGAGCAGCAGAGCCCUCUGAGGGCCCCUGUGCUUCUAAAAUGAACUUGAGUUACCUGGAAAUAAGAAGCUCAACAAUUGUAACAUUCUCGGGCUGCCAGCAACUCCAUGUCUGAAGCCCAGCCUGGAUCGAGCCCUGGAGAAGCCUCGAGGGUGGGCCGAGGUGGUGGCCCGUCCAGCCCUCCUGGACAGGCCCAGUGGCUGGGACAGAGGCCUCCGAGGUGCCGGGUGUGCCGGCCCCACGAUGGUGCACCUGCCGCCACCCCGGUGAGAUGGGCAUCACCCAGGGAGGCGCAGAGAAGCCGGCAGCGCAGCCAGGACUGACACGUAAUCCCGACACCUGGGCCAUCGGCAAGAACUGUCAGCCUACUUGACCUCUUUUUGUGACAAAUCAGAUCCUCCCCCAAGAACAGACCAGUGUCUGUCAGCAUCAACCCCCACAGACACCUCUGCUGGUGUGGCAGGUGACAUUGCCACAGUGGGGCCCUGAGUCAGGCGGCAAGUCUCUGUAACAAACAGCUCCAGGAGCAGUCAUGCUAGUGGGGGGCUCAGCCUGUGCAGGCCCUGGGACCUGGGUAAAGUCGAGGUGCAGCAUCAGAGUCCGGGGCCCCUGCACCCCAGGCCAAAGGUUGCCCUCAUCCCACAGAGCCUUCCGUUGCAGCUGGUUCAGGCCCCGGGGCCAGCCGGGCAUCUCGCCCUGAAAACCACAGGCUCCGUGCAGAGGGGAACCCGAGAGAGGCCUGCAGAUGCCACACAUGAUGCUGGUGUCACAUUGAAAUAGUUUCGGCAGGGGGCGGUGGCGCACGCCUGGAAUCCCAGCACUUAUGGAGGCCAAGGCAGGCGGAUCACCUGAGGCCAGGAGUUCAAGACCAGCCUGGCCAACAUGGUGAAACCCCAUCUCUACUAAAAAUAUAAAAAUCAGCUGGGCGUGGUGGUGCACGCCUGUAAUCCCAGCUACUCUGGAGGCUGAGGCAGGAAAAUAGCUUGAGCAUGGGAGGCAGAGGUUGCAGUGAGCUGAGAUCACACCACUGCACUCCAGCCUGGGUGAAGAGUGAGACUCUGUCUCAAAAAAAAUAAAAAGAAAAAAAAGAAAUAGUUUGACCCCAGAGUCAUUCUGGCACAACCUAAAAAGCCGACUCUUUAACAUUUGAGCUUUUAAAAAUACCAAAUAACCUGGGAAAGUGACACGCUGUCCCUGUGGCCAUGGGGCCAUGUGAAGGGUGACGUGUCUUGCGCAGAUGCCCUGUGUGCGGCCCUCACUGAAGCUGCAGGGUCUGCUGCCGCUCACAGCUCUGGACUCCAGACGUCUGCCUCUCGGGACACUUGGGACUCGAUUCCACAGCUCCAGAAAACCCAGGAAACCCGAAGGCGACCUCAACACCGUUCGUUCUCUCAGUAGCAUACGUGAUAAAUGAAGUAAAAACUCCUUUAAAGCGAGGGUUUGGGGAAACAGAACUGUUGUGUCUCAGACGGCGUUAACCAAGUUGCAAUCAUUUUACAAUUGGGAAACUUUCUAAGAAAACUAUCUACACAUCUGCUUACAAAUCAAAGCCAGAGUGUUUUCUACCGUCAGGAAACUGGGAGAGGCUCAGGAAUGAGGGGGAGGCAGUCAAGAAAUCGCUAAUUAAAACCAGCGCUUUCCCACCCUUCUGGCUGGGAGGGGGCCGGGAAAGACGAGGAAGUGGAAGAGGUCAGGAGAAGGCAGUGAGUGAACAGAUUACUGUCCCAGUCUCCACCUUUGUGUUUAUGUUUGUACUUUUCCAUGAUAAAAGCUUUGUUCUGAACAUCGGCCUCCCCCGGGCUGUGCAGAGCUCCACGGCCCCGGCUACCCCAGUGGCUCCAGUGGCCGACAGGGUUGAUUCUACUCACCUGAGCAGAUGGCCUGCAAGAGCCAAGAAGUCUGGGGCAACCCAAAUCUACAAAAGAAUGAAACAGCCAGCUCCUGUCUUAACUGAUUGACCAACCUUACGACAUUCCAUGAUGACCUGUUCCUGCCCUGUCCCACCUGAUCGAUCGACCUCGUGACAUUCUUCUUCCGGACAAUGAGUCUUAUGAUCUCCCCACCAUGUACCUUGUGACCCCCUCCUCUGCUGACAAUAGGUAACCACCUUUCACUGUAACUUUCCACUGUUUACCCCAGUCCUAUAAAACGGCCCCACCCCUACCUCUCUUUGCUGACUCUUUUCGGACUCAGCCCACUUGCACCCAAGUGAAUAAACAGCCUUGUUGCUCACACAAAGCCUGUUGGUGUCUCUUCACAUGGACGCACGUGACACAAAGUGCUGGGGUUACAGGCGUGAGCUGCCACGCCCGGCCCUCUUUGCUCUUUCGUACGAAUUUUAUUUUUUAUUUUUAUUUUUUUUCUUGAGACAGAGUCUUGCUCUGUCGCCCAGGCUGGAGUGCAGUGGCGCGAUCUCGGCUCACUGCAAGCUCCGCCUCCCGGGUUCACGCCAGUCUCCUGCCUCAGUUACCUGAGUAGCUGGGACUACAGGCGCCCGUCACCACACCUGGCUAAUUUUUUGUAUUUUUUUAGUGGAGACGGGGUUUCACCGUGUUAGCCAGGAUGGUCUUGAUCUCCUGACCUCGUGAUCCGCCCGCCUCGGCCUCCCACAGUGCUGGGAUUUACAGGCGGGAGCCACCACACCGGCCUUCGUAUGAAUUUUAGAACCAGUUUUUCCAAUUUCAUGAAAAAUUAUCUUAGGAAUUAUAUUAAUUUCGGGAAAACAGUUAUCUUUGGGUCCCACGUAAACACAGGGAGUGGGAAACAGUCGUGUGGCAUCUGUGGCACAGAACACAGAGACCAGGCCCCGGCGGCUCUGCCAAGCGAGGCUUCGUCCCGGAGACUCGGCGUGUGGCCUCCGGGUCACAGAAACGGCCUUCGUAGCUGUUUGAUGUCACACCAACGAGACUUCAUUCGUGUUAGCAGAACUUUGGGGACGACGUGACCCUGCGUGACAGCCGGGAACACGGGAGCCAGAUGUGGGGACAGCGGCGAGCUGGCACCCCGGAUGGAAAGCCGGACAGAAAGGCGGACAGAGCUGCAGCCACGACCAGGAGUAGCAGCAGGUCCUCGGACGAGAGGCAGCCCCCGUUCCCGGACCAAACUGAGGGUCGGGCCCCAUAACGAGACGCAGCUGAACUGGGGAGGAAGCACGUGUUUAUUUCCCCAACCGGUUACAGGGAGAAGGCCUGGACAUUAUCUCCAGACCAACUCAAAAUUACAGUCCUCCAGAGCUUAUCUACCUUCCACACGCUACGUCUACGUGUAAGUGUGCAUUCAUCUGAAGACUAAGUGACUAACUUCUAAUCUGUAACUGAGGUCUGAGUCCUGAAGACCUUCCUCUGGAGCCUCAGUAAGUUUAAUCUAGAUGGGUCCAGGUGCUGGGUCAUUACCCUUAUCCUGUCUCCUGCUAAGUCACGGAGGUUGGAGAAGUUCCUUCGGGCCCCCAAUAAGCUUGUUUGUGGAGGCCUGAGGAGUUCCUUCAGACCCGCGAUAAAAUUUGUUUUAUCCUAAAUGGGUCCUAUUAAGAAUUCCUUUGUUAUUUUUUCAUGCUUUAAGGCCCAGGAAAGGGCUAGGCAAAACUCUUGGUAUGCUUCUGUUACAUUCCAGCCUUUGUAUAAGGGCACUGGCUUUUAACUCCCUCAGUACUGAAACUGGUCAUGGAGGCCCACGUUAGUGAGACCUGGCCUACCGCACUCCCACCCAGCCCACGGGCGUGUAAAUCUGUGCAGCCAGACACACCCUCACCCUGCAACCACCCCUGCAAACCCCCCUUCCCCACUUCCCCAUUGUGAGAUGUGGCAGCCCAGGGCGGAGUGGGUAUUUGCCCUAAAGACAAACACCGCUGGAGGCACGGAGCCGACACAGGCGCCAUGAGCUGACACAGGCACGGAGCUGACACAGGCACGGUGAGCUGACACAGGCACGGAGCCGACACAGGCACCAUGGUGUCUGUGGGACUGUGACUGCCGAAGGCCAGAAUCAGCCUACGCACACACACACGGGGCUGUUGACUUAGUCACCCCCCACCCAACACAGCAGCCAUGCCUGGGAGGCCACCCCGCACCCACCAGGAGGGUCUCCAGGAGGGCCUGGUGUGGGCCAGGCUGAGCUCAGGACGCCGUGAUGGUCGUGCCUCCUUCUGUGUCAAAGGGGAGGGGCAGAUAGAAUACGUGUUUUUCUUUGCUUUUAGCUACAUAGUCUGAAGGAUCCACAGGAGCACAAUAAAGGAAGAGCCACCUGGGGCUGAGGAAGAAUCAAGACUCUUGCCACCUGUGAUGUGGAGUGCUCCGUCUCUGAAAGGUGUACCGUAUUAGCUGUGGUUAAAAACAAUUUAAGGCCAGGUGCCAUGGCUCACGCCUGUAAUCUCAGCACUGUCGGAGGCCAGGGCGGGAGGAUCACCUAAGGUCAGGAGUUCGAGACCAGCCUGGCCAACAUGGCAAGACCCACCCCCGCCCCCCCUGCCUCCCUGUCUCCACUAAAAAUACAAAAUUUAGCUGGGCAUGGUGGUGGGUGCCUGUAAUCCCAGCUACUCAAGAGGCUGAGGCAGGAGAAUCGCUUGAACCUAGGAGGUGGAGGUUACAGUGAGCUGAGAUCACACCACUACACUCCAGCCUGGGUGACAGAGUGAGACUCCGUCUCAAAAAAAAAAAAAAAAAAAAAAGAAUUUUACCAAAGACCAGCUUUAGCUGUCUGCCCAACUAAUUUUUCCUUUUCUUCUCCCUUGAAAGCAGCUUCACUAAGGCGGUGGCAUGUCACAGCUCCAUGAUACAGAGCAGGGCUGCCCCGGAGAAGUGUGCGGAGAGCAGCAGCUCAGGGCAGGGCAGCCGUCACAUUUAUACCCACUUUUAACUACAUGCAAAUUAAGAGGUGGGGCAUUCAGAAUUUCCUAGAAAAGGGGUGGUACUUCUGGGUCAUUGCCAUGGAAAGGGGCAGUAACAUCUGGGUGUUGGCAUGGCAAUGGUAAAGUGUCACAAACUCAUGGGCCUAUAGGAGCCAGCUGGCUGCAGGUGGCUGUUCUGACAGACUGGAACCUGCUUACCUGGCUAACCCUUGUCGCCUGAUAGGUCAUCCAAGGAGAGAACUUGAACCAAAAUUUGGGUAAAGCAAUCUCUGUGGCAGUUUGGUUUUAUAAAACAAGACAAAACGAAACAAAAAAAAUUGUUUUACCCUCUUUCUCUUUAGUUUCAAAUGAGUUUCCAACGUUUACAUUCUAGUUAGACCGUAAAUAACGAGUCUUCGCACCAGCAGCUUAGUAACAGCAGGUUUAAAGCAAGAAAGAAAAGAGAGGACCAGAGAGCACCUUAGAACACUGCUUAACCACAGCACAGGUUCACCACUGGAGGUCUGAAUUUUCCUCGCUGUCAUUUGCCCGUCAGCUUAAAACAUGCACAAUGGGCUGUAAUAUGUAACCAGCUGGAGUCCCUAAGAGGACGACAAAAUCAGGGGCCGGGAUGUUGGAAACUGUUUUUCCCUUUUUGGGCUGGGCCCCUGGAUUGAACAGGAAAAUAGAAAAGAAAGGAAAGCGGAGGAGAAAGGUUUGCAGCAGGGAGGAGAAACAAGAAAGGAAGGAGGGAGGCUGGCGAGCCUCCAGCCACUGCGUGGUGCGGGGCCAGCACCCCCUCACCCUUGAUCAUCUCCCAUCAGGGAAAGCCUCCGCACCCCAGACCUGCGCGGUGUGGGAUGAAUCCCUCCCACCUCCGCAGAUCACCUGUCAAGGUCAGCUGUUCGCAGCCACAGGGAGCUAAGGGUGCUUUUGACCAAGAGGAAUAACGCUUUGGUGGCGGACGGGAGGAGGACGUUGGAGGAAGGAGAGAGAGGUCAGGGUGCACACACUCAUGCGCACAAACCAACAGCUGCGUCCAAAAAACCUCCUUUAAGGGGCUCGGUUUCAAACGGCCCCUCGGGCGACUGAACCCGCACUGAGCAGAGGCCCUAGGGUGCCACAAACACAAACGAAUUCAAAUGUAUCAAAUGCCCAACUGGUGUCACUCACAGCCAAGUCUAAACAGAGGAGGGCCUCAGCCACACCCCAAAGAGGCAGAGGGUCCCUGGGUGAACUCCAACUAAGGCACCCAGUUCCAAAGUUUAUUAACUUCUCCAAAGGUCACUUCCUUUGCACCAGCAAAGCGUUGAAGGCAGCAGGAAGAGAAGGACAGGAUUCCCGGACGAAAGCAUCUCGGCGGCCACGGGGCAGCUCCUCCCAUUCCAGCCACAGGCGCAGCAGCCAGGAGCAGCUGGAACUCACAGAGUCAAAGAAACUUGAACUGUUCACGGCCUUUAAUAAUUGAGCAAGGUACUCUCCUGUGAACAAAAUUUGGAGCAUGUUUGUUUCUCUCCCUGGUUCCUCUAGAAUUUGGAAACUAUUUGUGAGUACUCUUAUGGUGAUACAGUUGGUUGCAUCAGUGCAAUAAGAAUCCAUUUUUCUUGGCCAGGCGUGGUGGCUCAUGCCUGUAAUCCCAGCACUUUGGGAAGCCGAGGCGGGCAGAUCACAAGGUCAGGAGAUUGAGACCAUCCUGGCUAACACGGUGAAACCCCGUCUCUACUAAAAAUACAAAAAAUUAGCCGGGCGUGGUGGCGGGCGCCUGUAGUUCCAGCGACUCGGGAGGCUGAGGCAAGAGAAUGGUGUGAACCCAGGAAGUGGAGGUUGCAGUGAGCCGAGAUCACGCCACUGCACUCCAGCCUGGGUGACAGAGCCAGACUCUGUCUCAAAAAAAAAAAAAAAAAAUCUCGGAUACGCUGAACAAAGACAACUAUCAUUCCCAUGCCCUCGGAGAGGGAUUUAACCGAGACAGGAGAUGGGGAGGCAGGUGCGGGACAAUCUCAUCCUAGAAAGACCGUCAGGGGGAAGCUCUUCUGGGCAGCGGCUCCUCAGGGAAGUUCUGCUGCCGCAUUCUGAUGUUACAGAAAUGCUUCCUCGCCCUUCCUGGGAGGUGGUCUAAUGCCACCCCAAACCUCCAUCACUGACAGCCUCUCAGCAUGGGGGAACUGGGUGUGAGGAAGCUGGGGAGGGCACUGGGGGAGGGUACAGGGGAAGAGGCACAGAGGGAGGACACGGGAAGAGGGUGUGGGGGAAGGACAUGGGGGGAGGGCACAGGGGAA
rnacentral:lncRNA from 10 species